UACGUAGGGUGCGAGCGUUAAUCGGAAUUACUGGGCGUAAAGCGUGCGCAGGCGGUUUUCCAAGACAGAUGUGAAAUCCCCGGGCUCAACCUGGGAACUGCAUUUGUGACUGCAUCGCUGGAGUGCGGCAGAGGGGGAUGGAAUUCCGCGUGUAGCAGUGAAAUGCGUAGAUAUGCGGAGGAACACCGAUGGCGAAGGCAGGUCUCUGGGCAUUAACUGACGCUGAGGAGCGAAAGCAUGGGGAGCGAACAGG
rnacentral:rRNA from 1 species